GACGUAGGGUGCGAGCGUUGUCCGGAUUUAUUGGGCGUAAAGAGCUCGUAGGCGGCUCGUCGCGUCGACCGUGAAAACCCGCGGCUUAACUGCGGGCUUGCGGUUGAUACGGGCGGGCUAGAGUUCGGUAGGGGAGACUGGAAUUCCUGGUGUAGCGGUGAAAUGCGCAGAUAUCAGGAGGAACACCGGUGGCGAAGGCGGGACUCUGGGCCGAUACUGACGCUGAGGAGCGAAAGCGUGGGGAGCGAACAGG
rnacentral:rRNA from 1 species